rnacentral:rRNA from 1 species
UACGUAGGGGGCAAGCGUUGUCCGGAAUCACUAGGCGUAAAGCGCAGGUAGGCGGUUCAGUAAGUCUUUUGUGAAAGCUCCCGGCUCAACUGGGAGAGGCCAAGGGAAACUACUGGACUAGAGUGUGGUAGGGGAUACUGGAAUUCCUGGUGUAGCGGUGAAAUGCGUAGAUAUCAGGAGGAAUACCUAUGGCGAAAGCAGGUAUCUGGGCCAUCACUGACGCUGAGCUGCGAAAGCUAGGGGAGCAAACAGG